UAUUGGCCCAGUAUAGAUUUAAAUUUUUUGUAUUUCAGAUAAACUUUGAAGCUAAGCAAAAUACGUUCUAUUUCUAUUAAAAGGAAAACUACUCGAGGAGACAAGUUGUAUAACUUUUUACCCACUUAGCCUGUAAGGGUCACUGAGUUCCCCACGUCUCUAAUUUGCAAAGGAAAGGCCUGACAUCUGUCAUAGGAUGUGUCUAACAGGGCUCUUUAAUCCGGUUUCUGUACUCCACCUCAGCAAGUGGAGUAGUGCUAAAAUCGAGAUUGCAGUUCCGAAUUAGAGGUACUGUGGACACAAUUUGACAUUAUUGGCAUCCGGGAGCUAUCCCAGAAUGCUUCCUUGUGACCACUCUGGACAACACUCUCAACUCCGAUGUACUUGCCAGGAGUUGCAGGGAGAAUGACUUUUUGGAGGAUGAAGAGGAGAAGGAGGAGGACAGUGCACAAGCGACAAGUGGGGAA